CACCAGACUCCUACGGGAGGCAGCAGUGGGGAAUAUUGCACAAUGGGGGAAACCCUGAUGCAGCGACGCCGCGUGAGUGAAGAAGUAUUUCGGUAUGUAAAGCUCUAUCAGCAGGGAAGAUAAUGACGGUACCUGACUAAGAAGCCCCGGCUAACUACGUGCCAGCAGCCGCGGUAAUACGUAGGGGGCAAGCGUUAUCCGGAUUUACUGGGUGUAAAGGGUGCGUAGGUGGCAGGGCAAGUCAGAUGUGAAAGCCCGGGGCCCAACCCCGGUACUGCAUUUGAAACUGUCCGGCUGGAGUGCAGGAGAGGUAAGCGGAAUUCCUAGUGUAGCGGUGAAAUGCGUAGAUAUUAGGAGGAACACCGGUGGCGAAGGCGGCCUGCUGGACUGUGACUGACGUUGAGGCCCGAAGGCGUGGGGAGCAAACAGGAUUAGAUACCCCAGUA
rnacentral:rRNA from 1 species